AGGGUUCGAUUAUGGCUCAGGACGAACGCUGGCGGCGUGCUUAACACAUGCAAGUCGAACGAGAAUCUGCGGAACGAGGAUUCGUCCAAGUGAAGCAGAGGACAGUGGCGGACGGGUGAGUAACGCGUGAGGAACCUGCCUUUCAGAGGGGGACAACAGUUGGAAACGACUGCUAAUACCGCAUGACACAUAGAUGUCGCAUGGCAUUUAUGUCAAAGAUUUAUCGCUGAAAGAUGGCCUCGCGUCUGAUUAGCUAGUUGGUGAGGUAACGGCCCACCAAGGCGACGAUCAGUAGCCGGACUGAGAGGUUGAACGGCCACAUUGGGACUGAGAUACGGCCCAG
rnacentral:rRNA from 1 species